GUGGGAAUAAAACCUUUGCAUACGACUUAGUUAUAUCAGACGGUGCUGUAAAUAGUAGAGUAGUCUUGUUAUUACGAUCUAUUGAGGCUAAGCCGCGCUGAUUUAGUUUUGU
rfam:Albugo candida, Ac Nc2, WGS project CAIX01000000 data, contig: AcNc2_CONTIG_4208_length_173